UCCCUGGUGGCUUAUACGGUAAAGCAUCUGCCUGCAGUGCGGGAGACCUGGGUUUGAUUCCUGGGUCGGGAA
rnacentral:tRNA from 1 species